rnacentral:rRNA from 1 species
UACGUAGGUGGCAAGCGUUAUCCGGAAUUAUUGGGCGUAAAGCGCGCGCAGGCGGUUUCUUAAGUCUGAUGUGAAAGCCCACGGCUCAACCGUGGAGGGUCAUUGGAAACUGGGGAACUUGAGUGCAGAAGAGAAAAGCGGAAUUCCACGUGUAGCGGUGAAAUGCGUAGAGAUGUGGAGGAACAUCAGUGGCGAAGGCGGCUUUUUGGUCUGUAACUGACGCUGAGGCGCGAAAGCGUGGGGAGCAAACAGG